GAACUGAAGAGUUUGAUCAUGGCUCAGAUUGAACGCUGGCGGCAGGCCUAACACAUGCAAGUCGAGCGGAUGACGGGAGCUUGCUCCUUGAUUCAGCGGCGGACGGGUGAGUAAUGCCUAGGAAUCUGCCUGGUAGUGGGGGACAACGUUUCGAAAGGAACGCUAAUACCGCAUACGUCCUACGGGAGAAAGCAGGGGACCUUCGGGCCUUGCGCUAUCAGAUGAGCCUAGGUCGGAUUAGCUUGUUGGUGAGGUAAUGGCUCACCAAGGCGACGAUCCGUAACUGGUCUGAGAGGAUGAUCAGUCACACUGGAACUGAGACACGGUCCAGACUCCUACGGGAGGCAGCAGUGGGGAAUAUUGGACAAUGGGCGAAAGCCUGAUCCAGCCAUGCCGCGUGUGUGAAGAAGGUCUUCGGAUUGUAAAGCACUUUAAGUUGGGAGGAAGGGCAGUAAG
rnacentral:rRNA from 1 species